UAUAUAUAUAUAUAUAUAUAUAUAUAUAUAUAUAAAAUAGGAAUCCAUUCUGCUGACUUUGUAGUUGUAUUUAAUUCAUUUAAGACCAGCACAUAAUAAUUGCUUGCAAUCUACCCUCAGAAAGUCCACAGAGUAGGCUGUGUUUACAACAUAAUGUCUGUUCCAGGCUGUAGGUGGAUUUGUUUUGUUUUAAAUAGGAAAUACGUUGGUAGCUAAUAGCCACUUGAUAUUAUAAGGAUGCUGCGUUUGUAUCACAUUGCUGAACACUAAGCUUUUGAAACAACUAUGAGUUUGAGUUAAUGAUGACGCUUUUCUGACAGUUGUGAAACAGAAGUCUAUCCUGUUCACCCACCACCUAAAUAUAUUCUGGACACCACCUGAUGACUGUAAAAACAAAAGCUUAAUUUUCCUGGUAAUUUGGAGGGAAGUAUCUUUCAACACAGCAGGAGGCAAGUUAAGAAAUGAUAGUUAAGGAAGUGAAAACACUUGAAUUAUGUUGGACACCCUUUUCCGAGCUUUACACUGACCUAUGCUGGUGGUCUUUAUAAAUGCUGUGAAUAAGCGCAAUAUUUACCUAAUUGUUUUAGAGACUUUUGCAGUUGCUUAGAUAUCAAUUCAUACAACUUUUGCAUUCGUUACAUUCUCGAUGUCAUUUAAUUCAGUUCCAACCAAAGCCACACAACCUAUACCAUAGCCGUCACAUUCGAUUGCACAGUAGUAUAUAGAUUUGCGUCAGAAUAAACAACAAACAUUAAGGGUGAAUUUCAGCGUACCACAAGCUGCGUUUUCACCGCAGCAGUAUCGAGACUCAUGGAAGGUUCUCGCGCGCGUGUACCAUAGCUCUUUCAGCUACAGAUGGGCUAAGGAUGCACCAGCAGGUGGCUGUGUUAUCCUUCAGUCCGCUCUGUCUAGAAGAAUCUUGCUCCUGCAGUUCGAUUGGACAUGGAUGUCGGCAAAUGCUUAUGCACAAGGCUUUGUAAUGGAACCGCUAACGGCUAAACGACAAUGUAUAGAUAGGAUGUAUUUCGAUGCCGCGGGUGAUUGCAUCUUCUCCGAUAUGGACAGUUACAAUGCAAUAGGAAUGAAAUUGGGGAGAUGGUCUCUGAACUAAGUGGGUACUGUUUUUGAUCUUUUAUGCUUGGCUAUAUUUGGCCUUCAGGCUGUCGAAGGUAGAUAUUCUAUAUUCCUCCCAUGAGUAUAUAUUUCUAAUAGGCCUUCACAUCUUUCAUAUUUGCUGUUAGUCCUACAUGCUUUUUACCACAAACGCACAUAGGAAAUAUGACGUGUGUUCAGCAGAUGUACUUAUACAUUCAAACUCCAUGACAUAUAAAGUAUGCUGCUCCAAAUUAUGACUUUGUAUACGUCAACUGUCUACUGAGUACACUACAAGGUGGUGAAUUAAAGAAAAGCAGGUGUAAUACAAUGGAUGUUAUAUUUUCACUAUCUUCAAAUUGUAUAAUGGAAUGGUGGGUACUGUAUGUUCACUAUGAAAUAUGUUAUGGUGUGAACUUUCCCCAUGAAUGGGAUCUAUAGUUUUAAUGUACAGCCACAACAACACUAGAUUGGAAGCUAAUGUGCCUAGUUUGUGGUAGUUAAUGAGGCAUGAGGACAGUUAAAUUAUACUGCUUUCUAGCCAAUUGUGAGUGUAAAUAAAACACACAGAAUUAACUUGGAGAGUCCGAACCCUUUGUCAUUACUCUGCUAGUAGUCUGUAUUUUAUUUGAACUUCAAUAUUUAUUUUAUUGAUUUGUCAUUUUCAACAUCUAAAUUAUUUAAUUUACAUUUGUCAAUGAACUACCCUAAUGUACAAUCUUUUGUUUUGAUUGAAAAUAAGGAGUUAAAUUAUUCCUGUAAAUAGACAUCUGCUGUGCCU
ensembl:lncRNA